UGCAGCCGCUGCGCCAGCUCCACCUUCAGCCCGCGGGCGUCCAGGCCGCGCCGGCCCAGCUCGGCCCGCAGCUCGGUCACCUUCAGCCGCUUCACGUCCAUGGCGGGGCCGAUUCACCCUGCAAGCGGCGAAAUGAUGGAGUUUAUCCUGAGGGAGGAGCGCGGGGAAGGCGCCGCCAUUUUGCGGAGCGCUGUGAGGAGGGACAAGGACGGCCAGGACCGACCCCACAUAUAAACGCAUUGUGUAGUGCAAUGAGAAGUUUACGAAAUCAUUAAAUCUUUUUUUCACCAAGCAAAGGUCCCCGGUGGGGGUGCACCGUUCCCGGAGGCACUGCAAUACCGGGACGAUGCGUGGAGCGGAGGGAGCAAGCUCCGGAUCCAACUCCCGAGCCCAAAAAUCCGUUUAAUAUAAAGUCCUCUCAUCGAGGACGUAU